UUCGAUCCGAUUUGUUCAGAAAAGUUUUUUUUUCUGUUUUGUUUUGAAAUUUGAUUUGUUCAGAAAAUUUAUGCAGCAAAUUUAUGCAGAUACGGGCUUUUAUGAGGCCCAUUAUGCAACAAAUUCAGGCCAUCGAGUAAUCUAUACUUUGAUAGGUAUUUUUUUUAAUAUAUGACUCUAAAAGUAAAUAUGACCGUUUGGAAACAAGUUUAUAUCUUCACGCGCCUGAGGUGAUAAUAAUUAGACAGAGAGGACGCGUCUAAAAUGCGCGUAAGAUUACAGUUUUUAAUUACAGUAUAAUUUUUUUUUUUUAUUAAUCUGUCACUUAAGAUUUGACAGUCGAACGUUGGAUAGCAGAAGAAAAAUUACGAACGUUUGAAACAAUAAAUUGUUACCGUUGUGAAAUACAAUAACUUGAUUUUUCUUUUUCUUUUUCUUUUUAUAAGUGUGGAUGGACCUCUAUAAAUAUAACUUACUACUUCACUCAUCUUCUCGUUCAAAGUUCGAAACUCUUUUCUUAAAACGACUAAAACUCUUUUUUUUUUUUUUUUUUUUGCAUUUCCUAUUAUGUUCUUCCGCUUACGUUCAAGUCAAAACCUUUUAUAGUUCCCACAUCCUCAGAGAAAGACAAGCAUAGUCAGUCAUAGAGGCAUCAUGACCAUAGAAGAUGGCAGUGAAACGAGAGAAGCUUGAUUCGUUUGUGUAAUUAGUCGUCUAUGAUUUUCGUCAUCCGGCUUAAUUGGUGCAGGAGAGACUAAAUUAAACCUCUAUGUAUAGACGUAUGUUGUAUGAGAAUGAAUGAUGUAUAGAGUCAUGUUUGUAAUAAUUAGAUGUAGGGGAUGUAUAUACAUAGGAUAAGGAUGAGAAUGAAUGACGUAUGUAUA